rfam:Camelus ferus unplaced genomic scaffold scaffold258, whole genome shotgun sequence.
GGGGGUAUAGCUCAGUGGUAGAGCGCAUGCUUAGCAUGCAAGAGGCCCUAAGUUCAAUUCCCAGUACCUCCA